CCUUCUCUUGCUUCCUCUUUCUUGCUGUGUGAUCUCUGCACAGGCCUGCUCCUGUUUGCUUUCUGUCGUGAAGGGAAGCAGCCUGAAACCCUCAUGAGAAGCAGAUGCAGGUGCCAUGCUUCUUGUACCGCCUGCAGAAUGUAAAGUCUGCUUUGGCUAACAGCACCAGAAAGAGGCCCUCUGAAGUCUUGGUCAGUGUAAUUAAAAGAUCAUGAGUAAUUCCACUGGCUGAAAGAAAAAGGAUGUUCAAGCAGCAUAUGAAAGCAGAACACCUGCCCCUACCUCCAGAUCCGGCAUUACAAGGACCUUGCAAGAUACCACAGCCACCAUUUUCAGACUGCUGGGUAAAAGCAAGUGGUUUCCUGAGAGCCUGUCCAUUUACAGCAAGAAGUUAAAGAAGGUUCUGAGAAGAAGCUAACAGCUGAGCGUGACUUCCAGAAGACAGUGUAGACUGGUUUCAGGGCUGCAGUCCGUGAAAGGCUCCGUGAGAUCCUGAACCCCUGGAGAAAUUAGACGGUCCAAGAAAACCUAACUGAUGCCAGAUGAGAAGUCUCUAUCUCUGCUCCAGACCAGAUCCCUGCUUAUUCAUUUUGAGAUUCCAAAUAAACAAGGUGCCGUAAUGAUCUGCACUGUAAGCAGCAGAAGAAUUGGAACAGAGAGAGGAGUGUGGCCUCCAUCUCACUCACUGUAACCAAUGAAGCUAGAAGAAAGCUCACACUUCUCCUGAGCAUGUGAGAGUGAAAAAGUAAGCUGAUCAUCUAGUUUGGAGGCAUGGAGAUCCUGCCUUCUGCUAAAACUGGUCAAAUGAAUGGCUGGUCCUUUGACCCAAAUAGCUCCAUAAACAAGGACCAAAAGCUUGCCUGUAAAAGACAGGUUGUUGGUCCCAGGUACGUGUCAGUGCUAGCCUGUUUGUAUUGCUAUAAAGGAAUACCUGAGGCUGAAUAAUUUGUAAAGAAAAGAGGUUUAUUUGGCUCCUUGUUCUGCAGACUGCACAGAAAGCAUGGCACCUGCAUCUGUCCCUCGUGAGGGCUUCAGGAAGCUUUUACUCAUGGUGGAAGGCAAAGGGGAACGGGUGUGUGCAGAGAUUAUAUGGCAAGAGAGGAAACAAGAGAGGGGAGGAAGGUGCCAGGCUCUUUUAAACAACCAGCUGUCGUAAGUACUGAUAGAGCGAGAACUCAUUCAUUACAUGAGAACUGCACCAAGCCUUUCAUGAGGGAUCUGCCCCCACAAGCCAAACACCUCCCAUCAGGCCCCCCUCCAAUACUGGGGACCAAAUCUCAAUAUGAGACUUGGUGGGGCCAAACAAAUCAUACCCAAACCACAGGAUUUUGCCCCUGGUCUUCCAAAUCUCAUGUUGUCUCACAUGGAAAAUACAAUCGUGCAUUCUACUAGUCCUUAAAAAUCUUAACUUCUUCUAGCAUCAACUCAAAAGUCCAAAGUGUAAGGUUUCAUCUGAAACUCAAGGCAAGCUUCUUAAGCUGUGAGCCUG